rnacentral:rRNA from 1 species
AUUGAACGCUGGCGGCAGGCCUAACACAUGCAAGUCGAACGAGUGGCGGACGGGUGAGUAAUGACUGGGAAACUGCCUGAUGGCGGGGGAUCACUACUGGGCACGGUAACUCAUACCGCCAUCCAUAGCCUGUGUCCAGGUGGGAAUAGCGAGCGGGUGGGGUAACGGCUCACCUAGGUCAGGAUCCCGAGCUGGUCGGAGAGGAUGACCAGCGACACUGGAACUGAGAAACGGUCAGGACUCCUACGGGAGGCAGCAGUGGGGAAUAUUGGACAAUGGGCGCAAGCCUGAUGCAGCCAUGCCGCGUGUGUGAAGAAGGCCUUCGGGUUGUAAAGUACUUUCAGCGGGGAGGCGUUACCCGCAGAAGAAGCACCGGCUAACUCCGUGCCAGCAGCCGCGGUAAUUC